rnacentral:rRNA from 1 species
CAGUCGCCGCGGUAACACGUAGGGUGCAAGCGUUAAUCGGAAUUACUGGGCGUAAAGCGUGCGCAGGCGGUUUUGUAAGACAGAGGUGAAAUCCCCGGGCUCAACCUGGGAACUGCCUUUGUGACUGCAAGGCUAGAGUACGGCAGAGGGGGAUGGAAUUCCGCGUGUAGCAGUGAAAUGCGUAGAUAUGCGGAGGAACACCGAUGGCGAAGGCAAUCCCCUGGGCCUGUACUGACGCUCAUGCACGAAAGCGUGGGGAGCAAACAGGAUUAGAUACCCCCGUAGUCCCUGUCUCUUAUAC